GGCGGUAUUUUAGUCUAUUCAGAGGAAUCUGUCCUAUAAUUGAUAAUCCACGAUUUAAUUUACUUUUAGAAAAAAUUUAUAUAUCGUCGUAGUUUGAAUAUUUUAAAAGAAUUUUAAUGUUCAAAAUUUUUUAUAAAAUUAAAUCAGAUCAAGGUGUAGUUUAUAUAAAAGAAGAGAUGGAUUACAUUAAAUUUAUUUAAAGAUUAAUUUUUGUAAAAUUUUAUGAAUAUGGAUUUGAUAGUAAUUUUUUAAAAAUUUUAAAAAUGAUUUAAGCUCUAAAAUAUGUACACAUCGCCCG
rnacentral:rRNA from 1 species